CGGAACGGCUGAGUAACACGUGGGCAACCUGCCCUCCUCUUGGGGAUAGCCUCGGGAACCGAGGAUAAUACCCGAUACUUCACUUGAGCCGCAUGACUCAAGUGAGAAAGCUUUUGCGGAGAAGGAUGGGCCCGCGGCCUGUUAGCUUGUUGGUGGGGUAGAGGCCUACCAAGGCAAUGAUGGGUAGCUGGGUUGAGAGACCGACCAGCCAGAUUGGGACUGAGACACGGCCCAG
rnacentral:rRNA from 1 species